rnacentral:lncRNA from 1 species
UAUCCGUGAGUUCUGCCUCACAUCUGGUGUAUAUAUGUAGAAACAUGUGGUGGGUGCAGAUUUAACUGCAAAGGCUUGCAAGGGAAUCCCUCUUUCUGUCUGUCUUACUUUUCCACAGCUGGGCCAUGGUAUCACCUUUCAGUACCAGAAAUAAGCCCAGCUAGGUGAAAGCAAAGUGUUCUGGGAGGGAGUCUGUAGGAGUUAAGCCCCAAAUAGGGGGAAACCUCUGCACUACUCCUCAUUUGUUGCCAAAAUUGAACAUCACUGUUUAGUUACAUUAGUACAGCAAAUAUGAAUUUGAACUAACGGGUCAGGUAGAUGAACUCGGUGGCCCUCAGGAUCCCUUCCAACUCUGUAGUUUCUGAUUCUGUACUCUUGCAUCUAGUUUGAUCCUGAGUUUUGUGGCUCUUACUUUCAGGUCACUGUGCAUAGGGCUGUUGCCUUUGAACCAGAUGCAAUACAUAUUUACUCAGAAGUAACCAGUUGGGCUUCUUUCUGGCUAAUUGUGCAGAAGAUUGUAGCCUUUGGUGCUAAGGUAUCCUUUGGUGGUGUUUCUACUUGAUAGUGAGAAGCAGUGUGCUGAAGCAACACUCUUGGAUUCCUGAUUUGUUUUAUAAGAGGCUAGAAUUAUGGUAGCUAUGGAGUCUUCAUUGGAAGACUUCCGAAAGAAGGUAAGUUUUUGCCUGCAGCCAGGAAGAUCACAGCAUGGAAUAUGCAGAGAAAAGGAGGAUGGGAUGAAGGAAAAACUAGACACAAGGAUGAGGCUAAAGUCAUUGUAAAAGGCAACUGGGGGCCAACGUAGAGGCAGAGAAGGGCGAUGUGUUGAGAAGAGAGAUUAUUUUAGCAGGAAUAUUCUGAGUUGACUGAAGAGGUGAGAGAGAACAGGAAGGAAGGCCAGAGUGGCAGUGGUCCAAGGAAAAAAUAACUAGGGCAUGAACAGUUUAGCAGAAGAUGCAGAUUUGGCCAAUUUUGAUGAAAAAUCACUGGUUGGAGUUGGCAGUAAAAACAGAGAGGGGAAUGAAGAGCCAGCAGUGGGCCUAGUUAGUUUUAUGCUUAGAAGGCAAAAGAGAGAGACUUAGCUAUAUCUAAUCAACAGGAGGCUUGGGUGUCUGCAGAAAUAAUUCGUGGGGACGGGCAGAGAGCUCCAUGACUUUAAAGUACAGGUAUUUGACUUACCUGUGAACUCCACACACUAUUACAUGGUGCUGAAGAGCAGCAACAAGAAACAAUAGUGAUUUACUAUAGUGUAUGGGAUUAUAUAUUUCUGAACUAAGUUCUAACAAAUUGCUCUAUUUGUCCAUUGAACAACAAUACUUUAAGACUCUGAAAAACAAAUUAAAAACCCCUAAGGCUGAAUUUUUCACCUUUUACACAGAAUCUCCCUUGGCUGUGGUGAGUGCCAGAUAAAAGAUCUGAAAGUAGCCAGGCUGUUGCUGCUGCUGCUGCUGCUGCUGCUAAUUCCUGUCCACACGUAACAUAAAGAAAAAUAUACUACAAAGCGGAUCGCCAUUGAAACAAAAAUGGAAGACUCUGAGGCUCUUGGCCAAAGCAGUCAAUAACUGCUUCUAUAAAUUUCUCCUUGGGACGGGUCCUCAGCAUUGCUCUCUGGAUGUUCAACAAACAAGCCAGACAAUUGCUUUUCAUGCAUUGUUGAAUUUAGCCAUGCCUGUGCGAAGUGCUGAAGGAUUGUUCAGUUCAGCAUGUUGUAACUGGGAGGGAAAGUGCUGUCAGGAGAGCCAUUUUAAUAGCAGGGAACCGUCUGGUGUGGUCCAGCAGUUCAGCAAGGUUCUCGGUAAAGUAAUAAGUAAAUCCAGGUAGGAAAUGUAGACGGACCGCCAAUAGUUCUCUUCUGUGGAUUGGUUGGGAUGAUUGGCAUGGUUUUGACUGUGAGUCCUGGAAGACCUGUACCCUGCCUUUUAGGCCUUUUUCCAGCUGGCCUGGGAGGGUGGGGGCCAGACUGACUCCAGCUACAACAGCUGAGACUGCUGAACAGAAUCUUGAACUGGGGUAUUGUUUAGGGGGGCUGUUAACAGCAUCUUUGUACAGUGGUACCUCAGGUUACAUACGCUUCACGUUACAGACUCCACUAACCCAGAAAUAGUACCUCGGGUUAAGAACUUUGCUUCAGGAUGACAACAGAAAUCGUGCUCCAGCGGCACAGUGGCAGCGGGAGGCCCCAUUAGCUAAAGUGGUGCUUCAGGUUAAGAGCAGUUUCAGGUUAAGAACGGACUUCUGGAACGAAUUAAGUACUUAACCCGAGGUACCACUGUAUUUUGGAUCUUACGAUUUAUGUGGCAAUUUUCCAGUUUGUGUACUUUUUAAUAUUGUUUAUCGCUACUUUUGCUUUGUUUGUGGUUAUGUAAUUUUUUAUAUGCUGUAAGCCGUCUUGAGCAUUGUUUUAACUUUGGAAAGGUGGCAUGCAAAUAAAAUGAUUGGUUGAGUUUUCUGUUACAUGGUUUGUCUAGCUGCUUUAAAUUUGAAAUCCAUUUCACCUUCCAGUUUCUUGCACUUUUCUACUACUACUAUUGUACUCAUUAGGUUUCCUGUGUUGUAAUGUUAUUCCUAGCAACUCUUGUAUAUAUGCUCUUUCAUUUUCAUUGCAUCUAACUUCACAAACUGCAGAACUUGUUCGACUGGUUCUAGCAUCAAAUAAUAUUUUCACAAGUCAAAAUUAUUAUUAUUUAUUAAAUUUGUAUACCACCCUUCAACUGAAUAUCACUAGGCAUUGGGUUGGCUAGAGUUCUUUGAGACUGUCAACAAGCAUAUAGAUGGUGCAGUUCACAAAGGGUACUCAAAACUUUCAAAAAGCUUUUGACCAGGUACUUCACCAAAGACUCCUGAGAAAGCUUAGCAGUCAUGGGAUAAGAGGAGAUGUUCUCUUGUCGAUCAGAACUGUUAAGGUGGCCAAGGUGGCUGAAGAUACUAAAUAGUUCAGCAUCAUUAAAACAAAAAGGGAUUGUGAAGAGUGGCAAAUGAUAUCUCCAAACUGAGUGAAUGGGCAGUAAAAUGGCAAAUGCAAUUCAAACAUCACAGCCUUUUAUGGGGGCUUUAAACUGUAAAAGUGCUACUCCGAAUUUUGGAAGUGGAUGGUGCAGCUGUUGUAGGAUUGGAUUGGGCUAGGUUUCCCUAGGGAAUGAGAACUGGAAAUGAACGUAGUUCAGUUCCACAGAAAUAUACACUUAUAUAAAUUUAUUCAGUAAUCACACAAUAUUGGAUGGCUUGAUCAAAGCAUGUAGAUGUCAAUGGGGAAAGAUUCUUUUUGAGUUACAUUGACUUAGUUCAGAUGUACUGGAAAACCUUGUUCUCCUGAGAGCCUUGGUGAGCCUCAGUGUGCUGUGUUUUUCAUGUGCCAGGAGAAGAGAUUGGAAGCCUACCCUUCUAAUUUGUGGUAAAUCAUAGUUUGCCCUUUCUAUCAAAUCUGGCAAACAGUGGCUUGUUGUAUACUAGAAGCUAACACUUCUAAUUCCUUCUCCUUGUGUGCAAGUGUGCAAGCUUGAGGGUUGCACUUGCCUGCUCUUAUAACAAUAUAACAACUCUGGAAUGUUGUUAUAUAUGAAUUACGCCAUGGUGUCCCUUGUAUCUCAGAGUGGGGUGCUCAAGGAACAAAAGUGAUUGCAAUACGUAUGAAAGGGAUUUUUUCUCUAGGAUCUCGACAGUGACUUGUGAAAGAUGACAAUUCCAACUGAAUUUUGUGACGAGAGAGAGAGAUGCUUGCCUCCCCCAAUUUUUCAGACAUAUGCCAGCAAAUAUUGCGGCAAAUUAGUAUGUAGAAUAAUGAUUCUCAACAUACAUUGAUGUUUUCAGAUGUUCAGGGAUUGGGGUUUUUUCUGGGACUGUCAACUUAUACAUGUCAGGCUAAUAGUGUACUUUAUUAAUUAUUAAGUUUCUAUCCCACCUUUCCUCCAAGAAACUCAAGAUGACAGACAUGGUUCUCCCUCCACUGCAUUUAAUUUUCAUAGUACUGUGAGGGAGGUUAGGCUAAGAGAUGGUUGAUUGCAUUUUGUGGCUGGCCCUCCAAGGGCAGGGUGAAGUGAGGUAACCACCUCAGGCAUCAUGAUCCACAGGGGCAGCAGAUCCCAAUGUAGAUCUUUAUUCCAUUCUUGUUCCUGAUGUAGAUCACCCUUUCUUCCCUUGUGGGGAGGAGGGGGUGCAAUUUUGUGUUUCACCUCAAGUGCCGAAAUGUCUUGUGCCGUCCUGAUUUAAUGACUAUGUCACAGUGGCUGAUUAUGAAAACCAGCUGGUAGUGAAAUGUAGAUCCAAUUAAAGGUGUGCAGUAGAAGGAUCCUUAAACAUGACUAUC